UGGAGCAGGAGGAAGUGUUGGCAGCAGGAGAACUUAACGACUGACGCAAAACCACUGCAGCAAAAACAAAUCAACCAGCCUGGAAAAAAAGAAAAGAAAAGAGACGGCGGCUCAACUCUCUUCUGUUAGACCAGCCUCCAGUUUCCAGCAGCAGGAGGAGACGAUGGCUGAGUGAGACAAAGACGGAGCCAGCUGCAGGGGAGGAAGCUCGGCGGUCGCUCCCGUCUCUUCCCCUCGUGCCGCUGAGGUGAACAGUCGUCAGCGUUAGCAGCGCUCUGCCUCCGGCUGAAUGAAAAUAUGGUUUAAUGUAUGUACUUUUUUUUUUUUUUUUACUAUGAUAUCGGAUGGUAUCUGGGAUUUGUAAAGUAGGCCAGUUAUUUUUUGAUGACAGCCGCGGUCGUAGCUGCUCCACACUGGAUUAUUCCUCACAAAUUAUUUAUGUUAAUAAAAGCCUGUCUUCA